UGCUCAGUUUGUGGUAAAGCAUUUGCACGAAAGGGACAUCUGACAGAGCACUUGACUGUCCACACAGGGGAGAAACCAUUUAGUUGUUCAGUUUGUGGUAAAGAAUUUGGAGGACGGCUAAAUCUGAGACGACACUUGACUGUCCACAUGGAUGAAAAACCGUUCAGUUGUAAAGUUUGCGGUAAAAGAUUUGGAGAGGGCAGAACUCUGAGACGACAUUUGACUGUCCACACAACUGAGAAACAAUUUAAUUGUUCAGUUUGUGGUAAAACAUUUGCACAUCAUGGAAAUCUGAGGCGACACUUGACUGUCCACACAGGGGAGAAACGAUUUAACUGCAGUGUUUGUGAUAAAAGCUUCACUCGGCUUCAUAUUUUCAAAAAUCACAAGUGUGCUGGUGACAGCAGAGGAAGUAAAUGCUCUGCCGAUUCCUUCCAGCAGAAUUGAAGUAUCGAGGGCAAGACUUGGCUCAUCUCUGAUCAGUUCCCUAUGAUACUGACUCCAAAUAAGUCACAUGCAUACCAGCAGAACAAGUCUCUGAAUAACUAAAAUGCUAACGCUAGUGAGCUAGCGCUUUAGUAUAAAGUUUCACAAAAAGCAACAGAAAAAAGUUAUCGCACCUAACCUACUUCUUUCAUUGUUUAAUUGGCUUCAAAGGGGGCUUAACGUUCACACAGUUUCACUUCACUGUCCCUCAGUACUUCAAAAUUAGUCCAACAUCGCCCGGAGUAAUAGCAUAUAGCGGUUAUUUUGUGGCCGAAACAUACUCACUCCUGGUUGUUUUUCUCCAUCUGUGUUUUUUAUUUUCAGGAUUGUGAAGUCCAGCAAAUCUCUGUCCAAGUGAGGAGUAAACUAUAUGUAUAACUUAGUAACGCACACACGAGCUAAUGUAGCCCCAGCUUCUCUCCGCUGCACUUUUGAAGACCGCAACAACUACCCGGGGAUCUCAUCUUUCUCGGUCAAAAUAGCAGAAUGAGGAAUUUAUUGCUUUAGUCAGCUGCAUCUACCUUCAACACUGACUGGACAUCCACAUUAAAUGUGCUGAAGUUUCCCUUUAAAGCAGAGGACAAACGCAGCAAUGCUGAUGAUUUUGGCCCGUCACUACCGUUAACAAGCCGAAUUGUCAUGGAAACAAUUAUGGCACUUAACCCUAACCCCACAGCUCCACUCAUUGUGGUGCGUUUCAUCGACUUCCCAUAAUCCAACAGAAGCAAACACAGGUCAUUCAAAUAGCCGGCUUCUUAGGAGGAGUAUGUGCAAUUGAUGGCGCUCAUAUAAAGAUAAACUAUUUUAUCUUUCAUUUCCAAUGUGUAUAUCAUAAUGUAUUCUCUUGAAAAUUCUUUGUCAAAUGUUUGUUGAAUGUAAACUCCUCUUGAACAUUCAAUGUGAAUUUAUCUGAGAAUGAAGGAAAUCUCUUCAGUGAUUGGUCCUUGGCGACAUCGUCAUCCAAAAUCCUGUUUGUGUCACAGCAAAGUGUCGUGAAUCAGCACAAAGACUGACACUUAAGAUUUAGUCCUACACUUCACUCAGAUUAGGACUGAGAUGCUUGAUAACUUUUAAGCUCAGCUUUGAGCCAAGAUUUAUUUUUAGUCUUUAGUCAGUUCUUUGCGGAGUUCUUAUGAGUUCUUCUUUCUACUAGCUCAUUCAAGUCUAAAGUUUUGAUUUCAUCAAAUCUUCCAGUGAAAAAAUAAUACUGACUUGUUUUAGUUUUCUUCUAAAAUCAAGUGUUUUGACUUUGAUUUCUUUUUAAUUUAUGAUGUGAAUCCAUGGUAAACUUUUGGAAAAGUUACCAUUAACAUGUGUAAUGCUUUAAUAAGUUUGUUGAUCAUUUGGAAAGCCAAAUAGUUAUGAAUAAGUAACUUAUAGAUCAUCUGUAACAUGAAUAGUAAAUGAUCCAACUGUAAAUCAUCAUUAUGAAGUAGGUAGAGUAAAAUAUUUGCAAAUGUACUGCAACCUAAAACAAGCAGUUUCUGGCUGUUUCAUGUGUUUUUAAUGAUGAGAAAAUGUAUUGUAGUCCUCAUGUUCAUAACUUCAUCUAAUGGUGUCUCUUUGUGUUCGUCACUCAACCUCAUUUUAAGAUCAACACUGCCAUGGCCACACAGAUGGGUGCAAGUGGGGCUGGACAAUUCUGGGGGACCUCUCAGUCUUAACAGUCAACAUGAGGGCCAAUGUUUACUUUAUCAGACCAACCCUAUUGCAGCUAAUAAAUGUACAGCUUUUGCUGGAAAAGGGAA